rnacentral:rRNA from 1 species
GACGAACGCUGGCGGCGUGCUUAACACAUCCAAGUCGAACGGAAAGGCCUGCUUUCCCUUGUGGAUUGCGGGUACUCGAGUGGCGAACGGGUGAGUAACACGUGAGUGAUCUGCCCCCAACUUGGGUAUAAGCCUGGGAAACUGGGUCUAAUUCCCGAUAGGACUGCAGGGUGGUGCCUGUGGUGGAAAACGAUUUUCUAGUGGUUGGGGAUGAGCUCGCGGCCUAUCAGCUUGUUGGUGGGGUAAUGGCCUACCAAGGCGGCGACGGGUAGCCGGCCUGGGAGGGUGGACGGCCACAUUGAGACUGAGAUACGGCCCAGACUCCUACGGGAGGCAGCAGUGGGGAAUAUUGCACAAUGGGCGGAAGCCUGAUGCAGCGACGCCGCGUGGGGGAUGACGGCCUUCGGGUUGUAAACUCCUUUCGACCGCGAGGAAGCCACCUGGUUGGAAGGGUGGUGACGGUAGUGGUAGAAGAAGCACCGGCUAACUACGUG